UCCAAGCAAAUUAUUUGCCGUAUGGAGAAUCAUUCUUCAAGUAUCCUACAGGCAGGAACUCCGAUGGACGCCUAAUUCCUGAUUUUAUCGCUGAAUAUGCUAAAUUACCAUUUAUUCCGCCGUAUUUUGAAAUUGGGAAGAAGCAUUUGGUACAUAGAGUAAAAUUUGCAUCAGGUGGUUCGGGUUGUUUGGCUGAAACCGCUCGUGGCUUUGUUAUAGAUCUUCAAACUCAGUUGAAAUAUUUCCAAAAUGUGGGAAAACUGUUGCAGAAGAAAGUGGGUGAAACAGAGUCGAAACAGAUCCUCUCCAAUGCUGUAUAUAUUUU